ensembl:lncRNA
UAAAUGUAGUGUAAAUAUAAAAGUAAAUGUAACAUUAAGGAGGUGUAAAGGGGAAAGUGACAUAUAGUAGGUGUAAAUGGGAGUGUAAAUGUAAUGUAAAUAUAAAGGUACACUGUAACAUAAAGGAGGUGUAAAGAGGAAAGUGACAUAUAGUAGGUGUAAAUGGGAGUGUAAAGGGGAAAGUGACAUGUAGUAGGUGUAAAUGGGAGUGUAAAGAGGAAAGUGACAUAUAGUAGGUGUAAAUGGGAUUAUAAAUGUAGUGUAAAUAUAAAAGUAAAUGUAACAUUAAGGAGGUGUAAAGGGGAAAGUGACAUAUAGUAGGUGUAAAUGGGAGUGUAAAUGUAAUGUAAAUAUAAAGGUAAAUGUAACAUUAAGGAGGUGUAAAGGGGAAAGUGACAUAUAGUAGGUGUAAAUGGGAGUGUAAAUGUAAUGUAAAUAUAAAGGUAAAUGUAACAUUAAAGAGGUGUAAAGAGGAAAGUGACAUAUAGUAGGUGUAAAUGGGAGUGUAAAGGGGAAAGUGACAUGUAGUAGAUGUAAAUGGGAGUGUAAAGGGGAAAGUGACAUAUAGUCGGUGUAAAUGGGAGUGUAAAUGUAGUGUAAAUAUAAAAGUAAAUGUAACAUUAAGGAGGUGUAAAGGGGAAAGUGACAUGUAGUAGGUGUAAAUGGGAGUGUAAAGGGGAAAGUGACAUAUAGUAGGUGUAAAUGGGAUUAUAAAUGUAGUGUAAAUAUAAAAGUAAAUGUAACAUUAAGGAGGUGUAAAGAGGAAAGUGACUUGUAGUAGGUGUAAAUGGGAGUGUAAAGGGGAAAGUGACAUGUAGUAGGUGUCAAUGGGAGUGUCAGAUGUAGUGUAAAUAUAUAAAGGGGUGUAACGUGUAG